UUCAGACAACUUUAUAAAUCUGCUCCAAUGUGUCAAAUGAUACAAAAUCAAUGUUAGCACUUCUGAAAAGAAUGGAACCGCGGAAAACAAUAUUCUAUUAUACGGAAUAUUUUAAUAUUUAACGAUUUGUCCAUGAAAAAAUUGCAGUCAAUUUUAAGAAAAUUUUUAUUUGAGGCAGUUUCAAGUACAGACAUACAUUGAUAAGAAAAAGUACUGACCUCUAUCAUGACAUGUUCUGCACACACAAUAUAGGUUUGUUAGAAGGGUCCUCAGUGAUAAGCUGAUGACACCGAGUACUCGUACUGGAAACUGGGUUUUAUGGGGGAGCAGUGAACCAUGAGUAUUAUCAGGGCGCAUCUCCCAAACACCAGGAUAAUCAAUUCCCUAUACUAUGAAUCAGUCAUUGAAAGAAGACCUUCACUGUUUUCUUCCAGAUACUGAUUAUCAGUGCAGGUCAAGUAAUGAUCGUCCAGGAAUCGUACUGUAUGUGAGCAGCCAUACACAUGUAUGGUCAUCCCGUUUUCCAAAGAGCAACUGCAUGCCGACAUCUGGAAAGUUAUGAGAAAUUGAUAAAGAAAAUUAUUAGAAAAAUGCACAAUAAAUUGGCUCAAAAAGGGUUGUUCACCUUUCAGGCAGACCCCUCAGCCUGGUCGGACCUGUGGAGAGAAUCAUACUUACCUGGUCCUUGCCGCUGGGUUCCAGAUCCUUUGUUCCCCUGCCGCUGCUCCAUCAACAUCUAGUGUUAGGAGGGUCGCGCAUGUCCCCCAUGUGAUGUGACACAUAAGGAACACGAGACCGCUGCGGCCAGUCACUGGCUGCAUUGACAACGAGACCCACAUCCAACUGCAUGUUUAUGCGGGGAGAGCAGGGGAAGGGGAGCGAAGGAGUUGGAACCCAGCAGCGGGCAUCAAGUAAGUAUGAUUGUCUUUGUAGGUCUGGCCAGGUUGGGGGGAGUCUGCCUGAAAGGAAAACGGGGGUUGAAAAACCCAUAAAAUGUUCUGGAACCAGAAAACCCCUUUAAGGGGCGGUCCAGUCCUAAGCCAUCAAUACCUGAUCGGCAGCAGAUAAGGAGUAGCUACAAUGCAGGAAAUACAUAGAUCUUUCCAUUGUGCAGUGGACAAAAUGAAUGUGGGUAGAGCUGCAGUAACCAGCUCUGUGGUUUUCUGGCGCCAGAGCUACUACUAAAUAGCUGAGUGGACAACCCCUUUUAGAAUAUGGACAGUUACUUUUAUCUUGGGUAAUUGAGUUUUGGAAGCCUAUUCCUCACACAACUGCAGGAAUUAUUGCUACCCAUCUGUCCAAUAUGACCUUCCAUUUAAUAUUACCAUUCAGUGGUAUAACGAUACAAGGGGGCAGAUACUUUUUCUCACAACAUUGUUUGAAUGUUGGG